rnacentral:rRNA from 1 species
GACCUUCGGGAGCUUGCACAGGUGCUGCAUGGCUGUCGUCAGCUCGUGUCGUGAGAUGUUCGGUUAAGUCCGCUAACGAGCGCAACCCUCGCUGUGUGUUACAAGUGUCACACGGUACUGCCGGUCUUAAGCCGGAGGAAGGUGGGGAUGACGUCAAGUCAGCAUGGCCUUUAUGUCCUGGGCUACACACACGCUACAAUGGCCAACACAAUAGGUUGCUAAGCCGCGAGGUGGAGCCAAUCCUCAAAGUUGGUCUCAGUUCAGAUUGCAGGCUGCAACCCGCCUGCAUGAAGAUGGAGUUGCUAGUAACCGCAGGUCAGCUAUACUGCGGUGAAUACGUUCCCGGGGCUU